UUUGAACGAACCAGGUUAUCGCAGACCAGGAUUCAAAGAGUGGAAAGCUGAAUGUUUCGGGAAAACCAAUACUUCCAAGAGUGUUGUUGUUCAAUGUACCACAUGAGAGAAAAGAAUUAUUCAUGGAAAAUAUAAUGCGGAUAUUACAACAUUUCUGCCUCCCGGUGCUCCCUUCCGACGAUCUCUCUUUCGAACUUCACUAUGCUUCCCAGAGCUUUUUGACUCCUGGUUUCACUCUGAAGAUGGAAUGAGGUUAGGACCUGGCGGGAAAAUAGUAUAUAUUUAUUUGAUGCUCCUGAAGAUAUCGACAAUGAAGUCUCGUUCAUCAGUCAAUGGGAUACUCCACGAACCAAAUACAAUGUAUCUGCUGUCACAACUCCAGACGUUGAAAGAUGGUUUGGACUAAGCUAUCUCAAGGCAUUCUACCAUGGCUUGCCAUUAUUGACAAGCUGGAAAAAUGAUAGUGUCACGAAACGGGAUUCGAAGUCCAAAAGUAAACAAACCGAAGGACCUCCCGGUAUUCGAGAUUUAAUAGCACAGCAGAAUGGCGUUGUGAAUUUAGACACUUCGCUUCACCAAACAACAUCUUUCCCUACCAGCCAGACCUGAACAACCUUCUUGAUGCUGUAAGAAGCAAAGAGUGCUCACCUGCUGAUGAGGUAGGAUGACACCUUCGUCUUUUGCAGUUGGGAUUUGGAGUCAGCGGUGUUGCAGUUGUUUUUACAUCAAGAAAUGACCGGAUCUUUGACGGCAAGCACAAUAUCCACCGCGAGCAAAGCUGGUCAGAUCACUUUAUCAAUGCUACGAAGUUAUCGUCCUGGGGAGCCACUUCAAGGCCGAAGAAGCGAGCCAAACCCCCCAACCAUCAAUCAGCCACGAUGAGAUCCAUUCUUUUCACAACAUAUAGGGUUAGGGAGGGUUGGGGUUUAGACUAAGGGG
rnacentral:sRNA from 1 species